ACGACUGUAGUCCAACGGUUAAGAUACCCGCCUGUGGAGCGGGAGAAGGGGGUUCGAUUCCCCCCUGUCGUC
rnacentral:tRNA from 1 species